rnacentral:rRNA from 1 species
UACGAAGGGGGCGAGCGUUGUUCGGAUUUACUGGGCGUAAAGGGCGCGCAGGCGGCUUAUUUUGUCAGGCGUGAAAGCCCCGGGCUUAACCUGGGAACUGCGUUUGAUACGGAUGGGCUAGAGUUCGGGAGAGGAGAGUGGAAUUCCCAGUGUAGAGGUGAAAUUCGUAGAUAUUGGGAAGAACACCGGUGGCGAAGGCGGCUCUCUGGACCGAGACUGACGCUGAGGCGCGAAAGCGUGGGGAGCAAAC